rnacentral:tRNA from 1 species
GAGGGUAUAGCUCAGUGGUACAGCACGUGCUUAGCAUGUAUGAGGUCCUGGGUUCAAUCCCUAGUACCUCCA